rnacentral:rRNA from 1 species
CCUACGGGCGGCAGCAGUGGGGAAUAUUGCACAAUGGGCGCAAGCCUGAUGCAGCGACGCCGCGUGCGGGAUGGAGGCCUUCGGGUUGUAAACCGCUUUUGUUCAAGGGCAAGGCACGGUCUUUGGCCGUGUUGAGUGGAUGGUUCGAAUAAGCACCGGCUAACUACGUGCCAGCAGCCGCGGUAAUACGUAGGGUGCAAGCGUUAUCCGGAUUUAUUGGGUUAAAAGGGUGCGUAGGCGGGCUGUUAAGUUAGCGGGAAAAGCGCGGGGCCAAACCCCGGCGAGCCGUUGAAACGGGCUGUCGUGAGAUGUCGAGAGGUAUGCGGAAUGCGCAGUGUAGCGGUGAAAUGCUUAGAUAUUGCGCAGAACUCCGAUUGCGAAGGCAGCAUACCGGCGGCGAUCUGACGCUGAGGCACGAAAGCGUGGGUAUCGAACAGGAUUAGAUACCCCUGUAGUC